GGGACGAACGCUGGCGGCGUGCUUAACACAUGCAAGUCGAGCGGUAAGGCCUUUCGGGGUACACGAGCGGCGAACGGGUGAGUAACACGUGGGUGAUCUGCCCUGCACUCUGGGAUAAGCCUGGGAAACUGGGUCUAAUACCGGAUAUGACCUGCUCUCGCAUGGGGGUGGGUGGAAAGAUUUAUCGGUGCAGGAUGGGCCCGCGGCCUAUCAGCUUGUGGGUGGGUAAUGGCCUACCAAGGCGACGACGGGUA
rnacentral:rRNA from 1 species